rnacentral:rRNA from 1 species
UACAGAGGUCUCAAGCGUUGUUCGGAUUCAUUGGGCGUAAAGGGUGCGUAGGCGGCGCGGUAAGUCGGGUGUGAAAUCUCGGAGCUUAACUCCGAAACUGCAUUCGAUACUGCCGUGCUUGAGGACUGGAGAGGAGACUGGAAUUUACGGUGUAGCGGUGAAAUGCGUAGAGAUCAGGAAGAACACCGGUGGCGAAAGCGUUCUGCUAGACCUGUACUGACACUGAGGGACGAAAGCUAGGGGAGCGAAUGGG